AAUCAACGCUGGCGGCGUGCCUCAGACAUGCAAGUCGAACGAUUAAAGCUCUCUUCGGAGAGUGUAUAGAGUGGCGCACGGGUGAGUAACACGUAAGUAAUCUACCCUCGAGUGGGGAAUAACAACCGGAAACGGUUGCUAAUACUGCAUAAUGCAGCGGCACCGCAAGGUGACAGUUGUUAAAGAUUUAUCGCUUGAGGAGGAGCUUGCGGCAGAUUAGCUAGUUGGUAGGGUAACGGCUUACCAAGGCUACGAUCUGUAACCGGUCUAAGAGGACGGUCGGUCACACUGACACUGAAUAACGGGUCAGACUCCUACGGGAGGCAGCAGUCGGGAAUUUUGGGCAAUGGGCGAAAGCCUGACCCAGCAACGCCGCGUGAAGGAUGAAGUAUUUCGGUAUGUAAACUUCGAAAGAAUAGGAAGAAUUAAUGACGGUACUAUUUAUAAGGUCCGGCUAACUACGUG
rnacentral:rRNA from 1 species